rnacentral:lncRNA from 1 species
CAGCCGAGGAAAUUUACAAGCUGUGGGUCCGGAAGGCCACCUGGACCUUGCUGCUUAGAGGAACGCGUAAAAGGAGUUAAACAAAACUCCGGUUUUGCCAGUUAAACAAAAAAUACAACUUGAUGAUUUUGAAAAUUCUCAGUUUCUCCAAAGAGCAAAGCUGCUGAAAAGGAGAAAUUGCUACAAAAGUGACACCUACAGCAAAAGACCAAGGCUGUGCAAACUGUGCUCUAACCUCAGAAAGACUUAAAGAUCAGAUGUGCAACUUCACAGAGGGUUGCUUCCUCAAGUUCCCGCCAUGGUGCAAUGGGACCAGUGGCGUCUCGGCAGCACCAGGUCACAGGUUUGAUCCCAGCCUGGCACAGUGGGUUAAGGGAUCCUGUGUGGCUGCAGCUGUGAUGUAGGUUGCAACUACAGCUUGGAUCUGAUCCCUGGCCUAGGAACUUCCAUAUGCUUUGGGGCAGCCAAAAACAAAAAAACAAACCAAAAAACCCCAACAACAACAAAAAAGAUGCUCUCCCAUCCGUACAACCACACUCUAUCCAGGAUCCACGGCAAGCUUAGGUUUGUGGUUUGUCUCAGCGCCAUCUCAGCAGGAGGCCAGAAGGGGAAGAUGAAAUCUUGCACAAACUUGUUGUGUGACUCUUCCCAGAGGCAUGAACCCCACUGAAAGCCUCAAGAGACCCACAGGGUUCUAGAGAAAACUAUUUCAGAGGAAACACUGCCAGCUUAGACAGAAAGGGACAGAAUGUGUAUACAACAAAAAGAGGCGGAGGGAAAAGAACCAAAGUUUUGCUGCCAGGAAGCAGUCUCAGAAGACUCCUCUGCUGCAAACUCAUGCCUUCCUUCAUGAAAACCAGUGACUCACAGGGCAGAACCACAAGGCCAGAGAACGGAGCCAAGAGCCACAGAGAACAAAUCCCAAGCUUUGAAACACCAAUCCAGGAAUUCCCAACACACGCUUGCUUGGCUGGACUUCAGAACUGCAGUGGACAGAGACCCCUUUCUGUCUUUCACACCUCCCCUCCCCUCUCAAGGGGACUGUCUACAGCCUUCACCCCGGCCCCUCCCACCACAGCGGGCUGUGUGGACUGGGCACGGAUAAUUUGUGUCUUCUGUCCCGCAGGUGUGCAGAUGGAGAGCUAUGCUUAACAGUUGCCACCAGGACCCGCAUGUGCACCUGAACUUGAUGAGACAGUGAGUUCUGUACUCUGCUGAUAAGCUAAUGGGAUGAGACUCUUGUGAACCUUGGCAGGGGGCAAAAGGCAAAGGUAUUUUGCAUGUGGGAGGGAAGCGAAUCAAUGAGGAUUUGAGGAUGGACUGUGAUGGACAGAUUUUAAGGCGGGCCCCAGGGCUCCUGCCUCCUGAUGUCUACAUCUGUGUGAAAACCCUCCACUUGACUGAAGGCAGGACCCACCUGCGAUCUGACUCUUUAUCAGUAAAAUAAUACGAAGGUGACAGAUGGCAUUCCAUAACCAUACCGCAUGGUUAAAUCGCCAUCAUAGCAGCAGACUUGCCCCGGCCUCUCCCUCUCCCUCUCUCCUUUCUGACUUUCACAGACAUAAGCUGAUGGAUCUGGACGCUGCCAGUGACCAUGAAAACCGGGAGGCAGAUGCACUCAGUCUCCGGCUGAAAGCUCAGCAACUGGUAACUACGACAGCUCACAUCUCUCCUUCCUCUGAGACCCGUCAACGCUUCAAAAAAGUAAUGUGUCUCAAAGUGCUCACUACUGCUCAGGGCACAUGAGGCAUGGAAGAAGGACUUCUUCCUUGGCCUUCGCUUGCUCUCUAGUAGAAAAACUCUAAACGGAUAGUUGUACAUUUAUAACCGGGCCUCAGACUAAUUUUUCAAUCUUAUCUCUCUCUGCUUAGCCAGUUCCAGCCAAGCUGACUUACUCCACUUCAGCCUUUCAAGUUCCAUGACCAUCCUGCUGCUUCUUCUCUCUUACCUGCCCUCUCUUGGGCCCCCGCUAUGAGAACCCUCAAAUUUCAGGGUUCCUUGGUGGCUCAGGAGGUUAAGGGUCAGUAUUGUCAUGGCUGUGGAUCAGGUUCAAUCGCUGGCCUGGGGAACUUCCAUAUGCAGCCAGCCUCUGCCACGUGCCGCCCCUGCCCCCAUUCAAAUCCUAUUCUUUUUUUUUUUUUUGGUCUUCAUUUUUGGUGUCUUUUUAGGGCCACACCCGCGGCAUGUGGAAGUUCCCAGGCUAGGGGGUGAAUCGGAGCUACAGCCACCAGCCUAUGCCAUAGCCACAGCAAUGCCAGAUCUGAGCCACGUCUGCGACCUACACUAUGGCUCAUGGCAAUGCCGGAUUCUUAACCCACUGAGCCAGGCCAGGGAUGGAAACCAAAACCUCAUGGCUCCUAGUAGGAUUCAUUUCUGCUGCACCACGACGGGAACUCCCAAAUCCUAUUCAUCCUUAAAGCUGGAGCUCAUAUGCCAUUUUUACCAUCUGAUUCACCCGAGUGCCCUGGUCAUAAUGAAUUUCCUUCUCUCUACCACUCAGGAAUUUAGAAUUUUUGGUAUUCCUUAUAACUUUCUGCCUCAUAAUCUUUUUAUCUGGUAUUAUCUUUUCUAUCAGCUCCUUGAGGCUAAGAAGCAUGCUUUGUGAGUCUUUUAUCCUUCGGCAAGUCCAGCAUUUCUUGAGUGACUCAUAAAUAUAUUUAGAGUACAUUUACUCUGAGCUGCCUCACUGCUUUUCCUGAGACUUUCUGCUUUCUUAUAAAUUGGAUCACGCUUGGUUUUUUUAGAGAAUUUUUACAGACACAUAUAAAGUAAAUAGUCUCCACUGCUGAAAUACUCCUUACAGAGGGAAAACAAACAAACAAACAAAAACCUAUAGAGAGUUCCCACCAUGGCUCAGUGAUAAUGAACCAGGCUAAUAUUCAUGAGGAUGUGGGUUCAAUCCCUUGCCUCACUCAGUAGGGCAGGGAUCUGGCUUUGGUGUGAGCUGUGGUAUGGGUCGCAGAUGUGGCUCAGAUCCCACGUUGCUGUGGCUGUGGUGUAGGCUGGCAG